UCUGUUUAUGUUUGGAAAAGACGAAAACAAAGUGAUUUUUAGGGGACAUAAAUUAAGUUUGUUCACGCGAAAAAAUACGGUAUUAAAAAUAUUGCAAUCAUAAUUAAAUUUCCAUCAUACAAAUUUUACAUCCGAACGUAAAGCCAGUGGUGUAAAAUUUAGCAAUACGACGUGUUGGUGAAGUUCUAGGAAAGUAAUAAAAACGCAUCUCUGACAAUCUGAGGUCACCAACAUGAGUUCUGCCGAAAAAAGAGUGAGAAAAAGCAUAUCGCUUCUAACAAAACUGCAAAUCUUAAAUUGCCUAGCCACAGGGGAAAAGGUUUCCCAAGUGAGCCGAAAAUUCAACGUUGCCUACACAACCAUUAUAUCCAUCAAAAAGAAUGAGAGCAACAUAAGACAAGCUGUGGUUCGAGGAGGCGGCGAUAUCGGCCGUUGCCGGACAUCAUACGUCAGGGAUCCUUUGAUUGAAGAGACGGAAAAAGUGUUGCUCACUUGGAUCGACGAGCAAAAACGGCAAGGCAUUCAAGUGACCGGGGACAUGAUACGAGGAAAGGCUCUAUCAAUUUACGAUUCCUUGCCGGCGAACCAGAAUCCGAACUGCCCGCCAAAACGUAAGUUCUGUGCGAGCCCUGGAUGGUUGGCAAAAUUCGUGAAAAGAUAUGCUUUGCGUAACGUUGACGUAGCGGAAGAAGGCACGCCUGCUGACGUAUCCGAUUCUUCAAUGUCAGUACCUCAGGAACUAUUUGACCAUAGUGAACUGACGGAGCUGCUGGUUGAACCCGAAAUCGACCCCAUCGAGAUAAAUGGCGAACAUCCUGAGGAGUUCGACCAGAACAAGCUGGGCAAACUGCUCAAAAUGUCCGAGAAAAUGAUUGAUGUUGCUUUGGAUGAGGAUCAGAACACCGAACGAGCAAUGCAAUUUCGACGAGACCUAAAGAAACUGAUGAGUAGUUAUAGGGCCCUUUAUGAACAGCAGUCGGAUGUGGUGCCGAGCGACGAUAACAGCAUGAAUGGCGAUGAGUGUGUAUAAUGACCAUGACGAAAGGUUGACUAGGAUCUGAUUUUUUUUAAUGUGUGAAGGUUACAGUAUUUAUUAUUUAAUAAAGAAUCCAUUUGUGGAG